CCUACGGGAUGCAGCAGUGAGGAAUAUUGGUCAAUGGCCGGGAGACUGAACCAGCCAAGCCGCGUGAGGGAGGAAGGUGCCGAGCAUUGUAAACUUCUUUUGUCAGGGGACAAACUCAGGCACGCGCGCCUGCCCGAGUGUACUUGAAGAAAAAGCAUCGGCUAACUCCGUGCCAGCAGCCGCGGUAAUACGGGGGAUGCGAGCGUUAUCCGGAUUUAUUGGGUUUAAGGGGUGCGUAGGCGGGCUGUUAAGUCAGCGGUAAAAGCCCGGGGCUCAACCCCGGCCAGCCGUUGAAACUGGCGGUCUGGAGAUGGAGAGAGGUAUGCGGAAUGCGCGGUGUAGCGGUGAAAUGCUUAGAUAUUGCGCAGAACUCCGAUUGCGAAGGCAGCAUGCCGGCGGCGAUCUGACGCUGAGGCACGAAAGCGUGGGUAUCGAACAGGAUUAGAUACCCGGGUAGUC
rnacentral:rRNA from 1 species